AUGAACGCUGGCGGCGUGCCUAAUACCUGCAAGUAGCACGCUGAAGCUUGGUGCUUGCCCCGAGCGGAUGAGUUGCGAACGGGUGAGUAACGCGUAGGUAACCUGCCUCUUAGCGGGGGAUAACUAUUGGAAACGAUAGCUAAUACCGCAUAAAAGUCGAUAUCGCAUGAUAUUGAUUUGAAAGGUGCAAAUGCAUCACUAAGAGAUGGACCUGCGUUGUAUUAGCUAGUUGGUGAGGUAACGGCUCACCAAGGCGACGAUACAUAGCCGACCUGAGAGGGUGAUCGGCCACACUGGGACUGAGACACGGCCCAGACUCCUACGGGAGGCAGCAGUAGGGAAUCUUCGGCAAUGGGGGCAACCCUGACCGAGCAACGCCGCGUGAGUGAAGAAGGUUUUCGGAUCGUAAAGCUCUGUUGUAAGAGAAGAACGAGUGUGAGAGUGGAAAGUUCACACUGUGACGGUAACUUACCAGAAAGGGACGGCUAACUACGUG
rnacentral:rRNA from 1 species